rnacentral:misc_RNA from 1 species
AUACCACGGCCGUUCACAAUGAAACCUCAAUCGCUUGUUGUUCUUGUGUUCUUGAUUGGGAUGUUACUGACUCUUCAACAAGUUGAAGAAGUUCUGGGCGAUGAAGCAGUUCAGUCUAAAGGUAAUAUUGCGUUUACUUGUCAUUCUUAUCCUAUUUCGUUUCCAAAUUUAACUGAAGGCAUUAAGGCUGUCUUUUAGAAUAUUAUUUUUUUUCUCUCUCUAAAGCAAAAAUAAUCUUUUCGCAUAAUUUUUUUUAAAAAGCUUAUUACACAAUAACAAAAUAUAUCAAUAUGAAGCAUAAAAGAAUUUUUUUAAUGUUGCGAAAUAAUCUGAAAACGCUGGAUAUGUUGUUUUGUAAUAUUACAUGACAUUCAAAAACAUGUUUUGAAAAAUAAAAAGCAUUCAGAAGCAGAAAAACCAAUAAGCCAAAACCAUCUCAUUCUCUUGUUUCUGAAAUACUACGAUACUUUGAUGAUGUACAUUUUACGAUCUACAUUGAACCAACAAAGCAAUUGAAAGUCAUAAAUUUAGCAUUCAGUUUAAUGAUCACUAAUUGAUGAUUAUUGAUAUUUUAGGUUAUUUAUCAUAAAACGUACCCAUGGGUUACAUUUUGUAUUAUUCCAGAUGAUCCUAGAGCUAAAAUAAACAUCUCAUGGAAAAGAGGUAAUGGUAUUUUUGGAGUUGAUGGAACGAUUCGUCGGACGCGGCGCCCAAGACCAUAGAGUACACCCCGGAAGCUGUAUAGUGAUUUGUAAUGUCAAUGGUUAAUAUACAAAAGUUCAAAUUGCCCAUCAGAUAUCACCUUUCGUAUGCUGAACGCAUUUUUGAAAGAUAAUUUAUAACAACAAAGCUUUGUACCACAUAACCCCUUGAGAUCGAUGGCCAUUAAACAACUCCAUCAACAAGAUGCUACUGACGACACAAUCUGUUUUUUGUGAAAUCUUGAUGCAGACGAAAAUCCUACACAUGUUAUAUAAUGUAGUUGGACAUUGUGGCUACAAACUAACCAAUUUUCAAUAUUUAUUAGAUUCUGGUUUUCUUUCAUAUAAAACUAUGUCGUCACAUUUUAUUAUCUGUAUUCCAAUCAAAAUCAUUUUAGCAAUAAAAUGGGUCUAAUAUUU